GAUGAACGCUAGCGGCAGGCUUAACACAUGCAAGUACGAGGGGUAGUGCCGAUUUAUCGGCAGAGACCGGCGCACGGGUGCGUAACGCGUAUGCAAUCUACCUUUCACAGAGGGAUAGCCCAGAGAAUUUGGAUUAAUACCUCAUAGUAUAGCAGUUUCGCAUGAAACCACUAUUAAAGUUCCAACGGUGAAAGAUGAGCAUGCGUCCCAUUAGCUAGAUGGUAAGGUAACGGCUUACCAUGGCUACGAUGGGGUAGGGGUCCCUGAGAGGGAGAUCCCCCA
rnacentral:rRNA from 1 species